rnacentral:rRNA from 1 species
AGCGAACGCUGGCGGCAGGCUUAACACAUGCAAGUCGAGCGGCCCCUUUCGGGGGUCAGCGGCAGACGGGUGAGUAACACGUGGGAACGUGCCCUUCGGUUCGGAAUAACUCAGGGAAACUUGAGCUAAUACCGGAUACGCCCUUAUGGGGAAAGGUUUACCGCCGAAGGAUCGGCCCGCGUCUGAUUAGCUAGGUGGUGGGGUAACGGCCUACCAAGGCGACGAUCAGUAGCUGGUCGGAGAGGAUGAUCAGCCACACUGGGACCGAGACACGGCCGAGACUCCUACGGGAGGCAGCAGUGGGGAAUAUUGGACAAUGGGUGCAAGCCUGAUCCAGCCAUGCCGCGUGAGUGAUGAAGGCCUUAGGGUUGUAAAGCUCUUUUGUCCGGGACGAUAAUGACGGUACCGGAAGAAUAAGCCCCGGCUAACUUCGUGCCAGCCGCCGCCGUAA